rnacentral:rRNA from 1 species
UACGAAGGGGGCUAGCGUUGCUCGGAAUUACCGGGCGUAAAGCGCACGUAGGCGGAUUGUUAAGUCGGGGGUGAAAUCCUGGAGCUCAACUCCAGAACUGCCUUUGAUACUGAAGAUCUUGAGUCCGGGAGAGGUGAGUGGAACUGCGAGUGUAGAGGUGAAAUUCGUAGAUAUUCGCAAGAACACCAGUGGCGAAGGCGGCUCACUGGCCCGGUACUGACGCUGAGGCACGAAAGCGUGGGGAGCAAACAGG